UGGAUGUUGAACUCCCGGGACGUGAAUUCCUGCUCAGGGCUGUCCAUGGGGCCCAAACCCGCAGCCAGAGCCAGCCCCAGCCCCACUGCCGCCGCACUCGCCAGCACUCGGGAAUCAAGAUCAAGAGCAGGGCGUGCAGGCCCCGGCCCUCGGGGAGAAGCAGGGUGAGGACGGGAGACGGCUAAGAUCAAGCCACCGCAGGGAAUGGUCCCGCCCCUGAAGCUGGAGGACCCCACAGGCAUCUACGGUGCACAGGUUCCUUUGUGCGGUCCUCUCCCCACGAUCUAGAACCUUUACCAACUACGAAGGCAGAGCUGUCAACUCAACCCACCACCAGAGCACGGGAUGAGCCCAGGGGACCAUCCACACAGUGGAAGAUGACUCAGUCCUAAACAGGAAGGAGGGCUGGGGGCCUUGACAGUGGCAGAGCACGUGCUGAGCAGGCAAGGGGCCCUGGGUUCAACUCCCGGCACCCAAAGGAGAAGGAGAAAGCACUGACACUCGGCACACCAUGGACAGACCUGGAAACCACGAGGCUAAGAGUUCCCAGGACGCGUGUGUCCAUGCACAGGGAAGGCCCAGAGCAGGCAAAUCCACGGGGACAGAAAGCAGGACUGAGGCCCUCUGACGUGAACCAGCUCCCGGUCGCCCUCCCCGGUCCCUGCGUGCCGCUUUCUGUCUCCAGGCCCCAGACUGGGCCUCUGCCCAGGGGAAGCUGCCCCAGGAUCAGGACCACUGCACGCACCGGCAGGUCACAACCUGUGCACACAGCCCUGGCUUGACCCUGAUGGCCCUGGGGGUUCCCAGGGUGCGCUCUGAGGAAGAACACAGCUCAGCGCAACCCAGGACUAAGGCCGUAUCCUCCAGGGAGCAGAUGCGUGGCCCAGGGCAGGGGAGGCGGAAGGAGGGAGACUGCUUAAUGGACACCCGCUUCCCUUUGGGGACCUGAACAUGUUCUCGAUUACACAGGCCCUGGAGGCAUUGCACACUGAGCAAUGGUUGAGAUGGUGACCUUCCUGUUAUGUGUAUUUUACCACAAUGGACAAGGUGGGAGCCCUGGCCCUGUUUGCCCGACUGUCCAGCUUCAGCACCCAGGGCCCUGUGUAUUCCAAGAGCAGGUCAAGGACCCCGUGGGUCCCCACCCUGGGACUGGACCCGGCUCCUCUGGCUCCCACCCACGACGUACCCCUGGUCCUGGGUCGUCCAGCUGAGGGCGUUUCCCCCACUAGGGGUGGGGCCUAGUGCUUUAGUCACAUAAAUGGGUACUAACGGCUGCCUUUCCUCUGGCAGCGGCUUGUCUGCUGGGAAGACGUUCAAACACAUGGGGUGGUUUAUAGGGCCCCCCAGGCUGCCUCCUCACGAGGCAGCUUCACCGGGUCAUCCCUGCAGGACAAGUGGGACUCAGCAAACAGGCUCAAGAUCUUGCCCUGGGAUUGACUUUCUGCCCCAGCAUCUCCAGGGGACAGAGCCUGUCCAGUACUUCCUCAUCUGGGCCUGGGUACCUGGUACCCUGCCGUCAAGGCGAGGAAACCACAUCUUCCAGGCCCUUCACUGCAUCCCCGGAGAAGAAGGCAUCAGAGAACCAAAGUCCUGGGCUGGAGUCUCUUACUAGCUGUUAUCUCGGGCAAGUUACUUCUCUGUGUCUGUUUCCUUAUGUGUAAA